rnacentral:rRNA from 1 species
AGAGUUUGAUCCUGGCUCAGGAUGAACGCUAGCUACAGGCUUAACACAUGCAAGUCGAGGGGCAUCAGUUUGGUUUGCUUGCAAACCAAAGCUGGCGACCGGCGCACGGGUGAGUAACACGUAUCCAACCUGCCUCGAUACUCGGGGAUAGCCUUUCGAAAGAAAGAUUAACUAUCCGAUAGCAUAUAUUUCCCGCAUGGGUUUUAAUAUUAAAGAAAUUUCGGUAUGAGAUGGGGAUGCGUUCCAUUAGUUUGG